ACACCAACUGUUGUCUUCCAUUUGCAGCAUUGUUAUGUUGUUUCUUUGCCUCCUCUGUAUAGUUGUUGCAUGAAAGAAGCGGGUAUUUUUAUCACCCCAUUGCAGCCAUUUUAUACGUGACCUCAUACCCCAAAAUUGCUCUUCCUGUUUCCUCAGUGUGUCUAUCUGGUGUAUAAUGCUUUGAAUCUCCUUCCUGCUUGUAGACUGGUCUAAUUGAUUGGUUAGCUCUGUUAAAGUCUGAGUGAGCUCUUUUAUCCUCCCAUGUGCAUUGGCAAACUUCUCUUUGCUCCACUUUAUCAAUCCUGUUGAAGUCGCCUUUAGUUUCUCUGAGAAAUUGGCCUGUUGAGUAGCUGUUUGGCUCCAGGGUAUAGCCGAAGGACAAGGGGGCUGUGAUCCGAGCCGAUGGCUGGAAGAGCUUGGAUUUCUGCUUCAUGAAAGCCUGCAGUUCGCAUAUCAGGGGCUUGCUCUCCAACUAUGAUUUCCUUUCCACUAGCUGUGGAAGAUGAGAUAGGGUCCAUAUGCGCCUAUUUUGUUGACUGCCCAUGGUGAUUGCUCAUAAGGAAUUUCUGCACAGUCUGAGGCAUAGUGACCAAUUCUUCCACAGGAGUAGCAAUAAUGAGAUCUUGGAACACUGUAUCUACCCUCCAACCAGGGGGAAUACCUCCUAUUCGUACCCAAAAUGCUGAUCUGGAAAAAUCAUAGCAAUGUUCUGGAAUUUCAGGCUCGCACUGUUUUAGGACCAGCAAAUUGCUGGCAUAAGACCAAGAGAUAAAUGCUGGAUAAUUCACAUUGGGCUUAGAGUAUAAUUUACCCAAAAGAGUAUGGAGGUUUUCAAAAAAGAGCUUCAGAGAUGCAUGCCUAAGAUGAGGGAGGGCUUGAAGGGAGCUCGAUAUAAGACAACUCAGUGAACAUAUUCAGAGAGAUAGAGAUUUCCACUACAAAAUGAGACGCCCAUGGAACCUUUUGGAGGAUCGGGUAGGUGCAACUAAAAGUUCUCCCAUACCCAUAAAGCCAAAGUCACAAUCCACAGCGACAUCAAGUCAGAUACCCAGAAGCGGAGCCAAUAAACAAGACAAAACACCUAAACCGCUUGGAUUCCACUCAAGAUCUGCUAACAUCCAUAAGCCCAAGCAAGCGUUCUGGAAAAGGAAGUCGAAAUCCGACCUUUCUCUGGCGUCAUUUGCGAGAUCUCCAGUGUCGAAGCAGCCUUAACUCACCAGUGAAGCUACUGUUCUAUUAGGCAAGCAGACAACGCAAAGCCCUGUAUAACCAAGAUCGGAGGAAACAUUUUUUGGAUUUUUCUAUUUUUGGUAUCAUAGUGUAAAGCAAGAGAGAAAGGAAAAGGGGUUGCAGAAGAACAAAGGGGAUCUAGGGUUUGUAAAGGGGGGCGCUACCAAGGAGGUAGAGAGGAACUCGCAUUAGCGAGAGAA